UACGUAGGUGGCAAGCGUUGUCCGGAUUUAUUGGGUUUAAAGGGUGCGUAGGUGGUCUAUUAAGUCAGUGCUGAAAUAUCCCGGCUUAACCGGGGAGGGUGGCAUUGAUACUGAUGGACUUGAGUAAAGUUGAGGUAGGCGGAAUUACGGUGUAGCGGUGAAAUGCUUAGAUAUCGUCAAGAACACCUAUUGCGAAGGCAGCUUACUAAGCUUUAAACUGACACUGAUGCACGAAAGUGUGGGGGAUCAAAACAGG
rnacentral:rRNA from 1 species